rnacentral:rRNA from 1 species
AGUGAACGCUGGCGGUAGGCCUAACACAUGCAAGUCGAACGGCAGCACAGUAAGAGCUUGCUCUUACGGGUGGCGAGUGGCGGACGGGUGAGGAAUACAUCGGAAUCUACUUUUUCGUGGGGGAUAACGUAGGGAAACUUACGCUAAUACCGCAUACGACCUACGGGUGAAAGCAGGGGAUCUUCGGACCUUGCGCGAUUGAAUGAGCCGAUGUCGGAUUAGCUAGUUGGCGGGGUAAAGGCCCACCAAGGCGACGAUCCGUAGCUGGUCUGAGAGGAUGAGCAGCCACAAUGGAACUGAGACACGGCCCAGACUCCUACGGGAGGCAGCAGGGGGGAAUAUUGGAAAAGGGGCGCAAGCCUGAUCCAGCCAUACCGGGGGGGUGAAGAAGGCCUUCGGGUUGUAAAGCCCUUUUGUGGGGAAAGAAAAGCAGCAGGUUAAUACCCCGCUGUUCUGACGGUACCCAAAGAAUAAGCACCGGCUAACUUCGU